UAAAAGAGAGGGGCAGGCAGGCAUGGCAAAAGCUCUCCUAUUACAAGAUAUGGUCUGUGUGGAUUAAAACGGACAGACGUCGCCCCGCGCGCUCAACCGCCUGGUAAUAGUACUCCCUAGGGGUGUUUCAGAGAGAACAUGCAAUGUAAGGAGAAGGAGAAGCCACGGCUUCUGUGUUUGUAUGCCAACAUUGGG
ensembl:ncRNA ZK867.4 ncRNA